rnacentral:rRNA from 1 species
CACGUAGGGCGCAAGCGUUGUCCGGAAUUAUUGGGCGUAAAGAGCUCGUAGGCGGUCUGUUGCGUCUGCUGUGAAAACUCGGGGCUUAACCCCGAGCCUGCAGUGGAUACGGGCAGACUAGAGGUAGGUAGGGGAGAAUGGAAUUCCCGGUUUAGCGGUGAAAUGCGCAGAUAUCGGGAGGAACACCGGUGGCGAAGGCGGUUCUCUGGGCCUUACCUGACGCUGAGGAGCGAAAGCCAGGGGAGCAAACGGG